rnacentral:lncRNA from 1 species
UAAUUAUGGGCAAAUAUCCUUGUCGGGGAAUCUUUUGGUGCCUGUCAAGAAGCUAUGUGCUCAUGUGCAUAGCUCCAUGACAGUGCCCCAACAGUGCCCUAUCAAUUAGCUAGUAAACUUAAAUAAUAAAAAGAAGGGACUGUAACAGUCAUUUGGAGAACUGCAGAAGUAAGUACGAGUACACGGGAUGUAUAACCCUUUACUUCAACACGCUUAAUUCUACGUUUGAGGUAAAUGCUAAUCACUUUUCUUAUGGUAGUAUGAUGAUUUCUAGUUCCACUAAUCAUUUCUGUUACGCACCUGGUCAAAAACCUUGGAAAAAUCUAACUGUAACACAUCCAUUUGGCUGGGUAUCUCUAACAACCAUAAAUGCUUAAAAGUGAUAGACACAAAUUGUAAAUGUCCCUGAAUAUAUGCUGAUAUGGUGACAACAUAUUCUCUUUGACAAAAUCUCUGUUGCAUUAUUUGCAACUUUAUGCUCCAAUAACUUUCAACAGCUCCUAACAGCACAAACAGCAGUAGUUGGUGUGAGAAAGUUGGGUUAAUUGGAAACUUGAUAUUAUUGAAUCUUUCCAGUUCAUAUCAGAAAGAAGAAUGAAACAGGACAGGAGGCCAGGAAGAAGGAAAAGACACUCUACAAAGCUGGCUGAAGCGUGUGCUUCUGUUGACUUGUGCUAUGCAUUGCACAGAGAAAAGCUGCUUUGGAAAAAUUGCUUCAUAAUCAAACCUCGACAAACUGGAUUGACUAUAAAGUCAUUGCUGCUGCGUUUUGAUGCACUCUGUUUAAAGAAAAGGGUGAGUAUCAUGUAAGCAUUUCUAUUUUGUUUCAUAAGAAAUAAAUGCAUGCUGCUUGCUUUUCUUCAAUCCAAGAGAAUAAUUCUGCUGCUGGUAAAUGUUGAAGCAAGAAGUGAUAGAGCCAUUGAAAGUUAAUACUACAAGGCUGGAACAUCAGUUAUUUUCUGAGACGACAUUGUCCGACCUGCUCUCCUCAAAUGCUCCUCCACAAUAUUGUUGUCCUUAAAGCAAACUAUAACCAUUAUAUUUUUACCAUGCUGUAUAGCCACAAUAAGUGUCCUAGUGCUUUUUAGCUGUUAAAAAUUGUCCUAAGGCUUUCAACGGCAGCCCUAGGUGCUGAACACAUCCACUUCAACCAUUUUAGAAGUUUUUACAUCGUCCUAAAUGAUCUACUAGCCAUCAUCAACUGUUCUGUUAGAAGUUCAGAGCUUUUGUUGGAAUGGGAAUUGCUGAGAUCAUACCAUUGCUUAAAGAAACUGGGGCACACAGGUGUGUCUUAGACGAUAUCAGGUCGAUUGCCUUGACAUCGAAUUUGGAAAAGUUAAUACAAAGGGUUUUCUACAUGUCUGUGCAAUAAAUUUUAUUUGUGAGAUAGUACUCCUGAGUCUAGUCAAAUUGGUUUCAUGCCUAGGUAUUCAAUAUAGCAGGCUCAUAUUGUCCUUCAAAAUUGUAUAGAACCCACACGGCACCGAAGGGUGUAUGGUGUGUCAGUGACUCUUCACGCAGUAAAAUAUUAUGAUAGCGCUGAACACGUAAUAUUAGUCAAUUGGCUGCGAAACCUUGACUUCCCCAGCCACUCUAGUAUGGAUUGCAGUAUUCUUAAGUUCUAGAGAAUUUUAUUGCCUCAAUAUUUCAUUUCAUUGUUAGAUACAAUGAAGAGGCAUUCCUCAAGGGGCAGACCUUUCUCCAGUAUUAUAAUGUCUUGCUCAGCUCCAUUCCGCGUAAUCAGGACCUGCAUACUUAAGAUUAUAUGGACGACACAGCAUUUUUCUCAUUGGCAAGUGAUAUUCACUCUCUGUGUCGAUAUACCUACAAAUGUACCUCUCUGUUAAAGAGCCUGUAAACCACUUUGAGCUUGAAAAUUUGUUACAUUGUGGCAGCUGUGUAUCUGCUGUUACUAUGAUAGCUGUGUACCAGUUGUCAUAAGACAAGCUUUUUGUUCAUUUUCCCUGCAUUUUGCUUGUACAGAGUGCAGAAAUAAAAUGAAUGAAUCAUUGCAUUUACAAUGAACCUGCAGCCACAGAAAUUUUCUCGAAACGAUGGUAUACUAGCAGUGUUACAAGCAUUUCAUGCACAACUACAAAGUUGCUGUGGUUUCUCGCUUGCCUUCACUGCCUUCUCCACGUGUCUCUCUUCUCUUUGCCGCAUGCCUCUCUAUACUCCAUCACUCCAUCUCAGAAACUCUGCAGUGCAGCAAAAGCUAUGGAUUGUUUGAGCAAACAGAAUAGAGAAACCAGAAAGAGGGGUCCUCAAUUAUUUGCCUCUGCUAGACCUCUGCAGGAUGCUGACUGAAUGGAAGCUGCAUGAGCUUAUGAAAGGAUCAGUGGUGCACAGUGGGCAAGCCCCCUUCUCUUCUCGAAACACACAGCCAGUUCUUGUAGCAUUGGUGCUCUCGUCCUUUGUCGGUGGACCGAUUGACAGCUUUUACCCUAGUGAUGCAAUGUGCAUGGCCCUGCUGGCAUCAUGACAUGCAAAGCAUCUGGAAUAUCCCUGAGAGGAGCACGAGAUUUUUUUUUUGAAUUAGUGGCUUCCAUGCAGUGCAUAGCACUGCCAUGUUUGCCAAAGAUUAUAAUCAUACCAUUUUGUAUACAAUAUGUCUUUUUAUAUUAUUUUGGAGUGCAGCUCUUAGGUGCCUGUUCCUGCAGUGAGCGUCGGCGCCGACAGCAUAACCAGGCAAACGAGCACAGCGAAACAUGAAAAAGCAAAUGCGGAGUGCAGUGCGGGAUCAAAGACACAAGGAGAAAAGCAGAGGAGGAGGAUAUAGUGAAAGGCGCAUGUCUCUGCGUGUCGCCCAUGUUACAGGCGUGUGUCCCAGGUAGACGAAAAUGCCUAACCGUCACCGCAACUAUUGUUUUGCGCCCGGCUGCUGUACAGGGCACAGCCGCGUAAAGGCACACUGAAGCCGUCCUUGUUCAAUGUUCCGCGAGACGAAGAAAGGUGAGAACGGAAUUUGCACCAAUCAGAUAAAGUAUUGGAUGAGACGACAUGUGCGGUCUGCGAGCUAUAUUUCGAGUCACGAUACAUAAUCAGAGACUAUGUGCAUGUAAUUGAUGGCAAGGAAAUACGUAUUCCUCACAGAAGGCCCCUGCUAUCAGAAGAUGCCAUCCCCACGAUUCUCCCGAACCUGCCUGACCUCUUCCCAUGACCACAACGAGUACAGUACGAAGAGCGACUCGUGGUUAGCAUAUUAUGUUGCUGGUUAUGUCGCACGAAAGUGUGUGUUAAAGACUUAAGUGUGAAGGUUGCAAGCAAACUUUGACAAUGCGAACCAGUGAGGAGGGCUCAGAAGUCACAGACUUCACGCGGCUCAGGGAUAAGGAAGCGCUAUCGUAUCCACGUGGGGCAUUGUUCUGCUUUGUUGAAACACUUGAGAACUUGUUCACAGAAUGCUUUAGCAAAAACAAGCUGCACUCUGAAAGCAUCCUGGAUGUACUGAGUUUGGCAAAGGUCAACUGCACGAACACAAUUGGUUGCAGCGAACGCGCGGCUGAACUAACAAGGAAGGUGGUCAGUUUCUACCUGGCAACUCGGCUGCACUUAUUUGUGAAAGGAGAAUGCAGAGAAGCGAGGUAACAAGGUGACAAUGAAACUCCGAAAGAUGAGUAGGUGCGCCUAAGUUAAAUAUGCAAC